UCGUCUAGAUACAUCGCCAUCUGAUGAUCUGCGUUGCUGCAGUGAAAUCCGGAUUAUGGCUGCUGUUCUCA
rnacentral:hammerhead_ribozyme from 1 species